GACGAACGCUGGCGGCGUGCCUAAUACAUGCAAGUAGAACGCACAGUUUAUACCGUAGCCUGCUACACCAUAGACUGUGAGUUGCGAACGGGUGAGUAACGCGUAGGUAACCUGCCUGGUAGCGGGGGAUAACUAUUGGAAACGAUAGCUAAUACCGCAUAAUAUUAAUUAUUGCAUGAUAAUUAAUUGAAAGGUGCAAUUGCACCACUACCAGAUGGACCUGCGUUGUAUUAGCUAGUAGGUGAGGUAACGGCUCACCUAGGCGACGAUACAUAGCCGACCUGAGAGGGUGAUCGGCCACACUGGGACUGAGACACGGCCCAGACUCCUACGGGAGGCAGCAGUAGGGAAUCUUCGGCAAUGGACGAAAGUCUGACCGAGCAACGCCGCGUGAGUGAAGAAGGGUUUCGGAUCGUAAAGCUCUGUUGUAAGAGAAGAACGGGUGUGAGAGUGGAAAGUUCACACUGUGACGGUAUCUUACCAGAAAGGGACGGCUAACUACGUG
rnacentral:rRNA from 1 species